rfam:Schistosoma mattheei strain Denwood, Zambia genome assembly, scaffold: SMTD_scaffold0013003
AUUUAGCUGAUGAGUCCAAAUUAGGACGAAAUGCAAGUCCUGGAU